rnacentral:rRNA from 1 species
AACGAACGCUGGCGGCAGGCUUAACACAUGCAAGUCGAGCGCCCCGCAAGGGGAGCGGCAGACGGGUGAGUAACGCGUGGGAACGUACCCUUUGCUACGGAAUAGCUCCGGGAAACUGGAAUUAAUACCGUAUGCGCCCUACGGGGGAAAGAUUUAUCGGCAAAGGAUCGGCCCGCGUUGGAUUAGCUAGUUGGUGGGGUAAUGGCCUACCAAGGCGACGAUCCAUAGCUGGUCUGAGAGGAUGAUCAGCCACAUUGGGACUGAGACACGGCCCAAACUCCUACGGGAGGCAGCAGUGGGGAAUAUUGGGCAAUGGGCGCAAGCCUGAUCCAGCCAUGCCGCGUGAGUGAUGAAGGCCUUAGGGUUGUAAAGCUCUUUCACCGGAGAAGAUAAUGACGGUAUCCGGAGAAGAAGCCCCGGCUAACUUCGUGCCAGCCGCCGCGGUAAGAC